rnacentral:rRNA from 1 species
CCUACGGGAGGCAGCAGUGAGGAAUAUUGGUCAAUGGACGAGAGUCUGAACCAGCCAAGUAGCGUGAAGGAUGACUGCCCUGUGGGUUGUAAACUUCUUUUAUAUGGGAAUAAAACGUUCCACGUGUGGGAUUUUGUAUGUACCAUAUGAAUAAGGAUCGGCUAACUCCGUGCCAGCAGCCGCGGUAAUACGGAGGAUCCGAGCGUUAUCCGGAUUUAUUGGGUUGAAAGGGAGCGUAGGUGGAUUGUUAAGUCAGUUGUGAAAGUUUGCGGCUCAACCGUAAAAUUGCAGUUGAAACUGGCAGUCUUGAGUACAGUAGAGGUGGGCGGAAUUCGUGGUGUAGCGGUGAAAUGCUUAGAUAUCACGAAGAACUCCGAUUGCGAAGGCAGUUCACUGGACUGCAACUGACACUGAGGCUCGAAAGUGUGGGUAUCAAACAGGAUUAGAUACCCCAGUAGUC